GGGUGAGAGCGGCCGCGCCUCCCGUGUGAAGCCCCUUCGACGAGUCGAGUUGUUUGGGAAUGCAGCUCUAAAUGGGUGGUAAAUUUCAUCUAAAGCUAAAUACCGGCCAGAGACCGAUAGCGCACAAGUAGAGUGAUCGAAAGAUGAAAAGCACUUUGGAAAGAGAGUCAAACAGUACGUGAAAUUGUUGAAAGGGAAGCGCUUGCGACCAGACUUGCUCGCGGAGGAUCAGCCGCCCUUCGGGGUGGUGCACUCCCUCGCGGUCAGGCCAGCAUCGGUUUGGGCGGUCGGAUAAAGGCCCCGGGAACGUGGCUCCUCUCGGGGAGUGUUAUAGCCCGGGGUGCAAUGCGGCCAGCCUGGACCGAGGACCGCGCUUCGGCUAGGAUGCUGGCGUAAUGGUCGUCAGCGACCCGUCUUGAAACACGGACCAAGGAGUCUAACAUCCAUGCGAGUGUUUGGGUGUCAAGCCCAGGCGCGGAAUGAAAGUGAACGGAGGUGGGAGCCCUGGGGCGCACCAUCGACCGAUCCUGAUGUCUUCGGAUGGAUUUGAGUAGGAGCAUGGCUGUUGGGACCCGAAAGAUGGUGAACUAUGCCUGAAUAGGGUGAAGCCAGAGGAAACUCUGGUGGAGGCUCGCAGCGGUUCUGACGUGCAAAUCGAUCGUCAAAUUUGGGUAUAGGGGCGAAAGACUAAUCGAACCAUCUAGUAGCUGGUUUCAGCCGAAGUUUCCC
rnacentral:rRNA from 1 species